GAUGAAGAACGUAGCGAAAUGCGAUACUUGGUGUGAAUUGCAGAAUCCCGUGAACCAUCGAGUCUUUGAACGCAAGUUGCGCCUCAAGCCAUUAGGUUGAGGGCACGUCUGCCUGGGCGUCACAUAUCGUUGCCUGAUGCCAGUUUCCUCGUGAUGGGUGACUGUGCAGGGCGAAUGAUGGCUUCCCGUGAGCAUUGUUGCCUCAUGGUUGGUUGAAAAUUGAGUCCUUGGUAGGGAGCGCCGUGAUAGAUGGUGGUUGAGUGACGAACGAGACCCAAUCAUGUGAGACCCCUACCGAAUUUGGCCUUCAUGACCCACAUGCGUCUUUGGAACGCUCAUGACGAGACCUCAGGUCAGGCGGGGCUACCAGCUGAGUUUAAGCAUAUCAAUAAGCGGAGGA
rnacentral:misc_RNA from 1 species